rnacentral:lncRNA from 1 species
CAAGAUCAGUCCACUCCACUCCAGUCAUGUCGUCAAUUGGGUUUUGGCCAAGUCUUCUCCGAUCAACCAGCUGCUUAUCGGCAAAGAACACUGUGAGUUAUGAUCAAUUGAUUGAUGACUUGUUUUCAUUCAGGUUCCUGUUACUUGGAAAUUGGAUCAUGGCAGGGGGCCGGGUCUAACUGAGUAACGGUUUGAUUAGUUAAUUGUUGAGGUUUGGUUGAUUGAGUUGAUAGCAUGCCUAGUUAUUGCUUGAGAACCGUAGUAGCAUGCUAAUGGUUAGGUUGAUUGGUUAGUUAGCGAAUGUUGAAUGCUUAGAUGAUAUCGCUAAGUUGUGGAUAGUUAGGUAUUCUGGAAUUAGUCUUUAUGCUAGAUUCUAGAAUGUGUUUGAUUGGGGUUGUGAUUACUAGUUGAAACCUUAUGUUAUUUUACCGGGUUUAGUAUUAGUCAUGUAUUGACCAUAUAGCAUUUGUGUAACCCACAAUGCUAGGCAUGUUUGAGGUGGAUUAGUGUUUCCUCGACGUCGUACCCAGCGGGUUUAAGGAAACCUCUUAAUCGCUGGAUUGAGAACACUCAGAGAGACGGGGUCAUGGCCUAUGGCUGAGUGCUUGCAUGACGGGGUAGUGACCGGCAGUGACCCGAACGUACUGUGGGCUGUGUUGCGGUGACCCGAACGUACUGUGGGCUACAAUAGUCGUGUGACAACUGGCAGUGGCCCGAACGUACUGGGGCUGUCGCGCGGUGACCCGAACGUACUAUGGGCCGCGUUCGGUUGAAAGUUCCUUCUUCUGGCCUUUGUGGUAGGGAGAUAGGAUAUUUCCGAGGAUAGAGGAGGAACACUAAGUCAAAAAGGGCCCUAGUGAUAGUGUAAAUGGUAUAGAGGGUUGUUGAACCCUAGAUUGAGUUGAGUUUGAGUUUAAGUGGUUAGCAAGUCAUUAGCGGUUAUGAUUUCAUAUCGUUAAUUAUCUUGCUGCGUAUUUCUGAUAUUGCUUAUCUAUUGAAUUGAAUUGAUUUAUUGUUAGGUGAACCUCUCGCUUUAGAUUGUUUACGGUGGGAUAGCGAGGGGUUGUAUUUGUUAGAUGGGGAUUCUAACUCACUGAGUAACAUUAGGUUACUCAUCCAACUUCGUUGUCCUUUUUGCAGGUAGCCUUAGGUAAGGAUGAUCGGAUCUUGGAUGAUGGACGUUAGGACCACCGGAGUAGAUUUCAUGUCUGUAGAUUUCAUUUCUUUUGUUAACGGUAAUGUGGAUUUGUGUAUAGUUGAC